AACGAACGCUGGCGGCAUGCCUAACACAUGCAAGUCGAACGAGACCUUCGUGUCUAGUUGCGCUCGUGUGCUUAACGCGUGGUAACCUGCCCGUAGGUUCCGUAUAACUCCCCUAGGGGUGUGCUAAUACCGGAUGAUGUCUUCGGACCAAAGAUUUGUCGCUUUUGGAUGGGGGCGCGUUAGAUUAGCUAGUUGGUAGUGUAAAAGCCUACCAAGGCGACGAUCCAUAGCUGGUCGGAGAGGAUGAUCAGCCACAAUGGGACUGAGACACGGCCCAGAACCGUACGGGAGGCAGCAGUGGGGAAUAUAGGACACUGGGCGAUAGUGUAAUAAAGCAAUGCGGCGUGAGUGAUGAAGGCGUUAGGGUUGUACAGCCGUUUUACACGAGAUGAUAAUGACAGUAACGGGAGAAUAAGCUCCGGCUAACUCCGUG
rnacentral:rRNA from 1 species